AUUUCGGCGCUAUUUGCGGCUAGGGGGUUAACGAACAUAGAUCAAGUUGAAUAACGAUUACAUAGAGUUAUUGGCAUCAAAUUCGUAAACAUCAGAAAGAACGCUUUGCUCGGUUUACAUCCGCAUAAAACGCACGAGUAUCUUGAAUACCAAUCGCCUUUCGUACGAAAGAAAGUUUCAUGAAGUUCCCUUCAAAGAUCAUAACCUUGCGUGCAAUAUCUGUUUCCGGAUGCUUUAGAAAUGUAUUCCAACGUUUCACCAAUAUUUAUAACUGCGUUCAUUAAGAUCUGAUGACGCACUAACAUAAUAUAAAGAGAAAUGUGUUUUUUUAAUAAACUAUACAUCGCAGUAUAGUAUUUAAUCAUCUAAGUAAGAACCUUCUUUGAGAUUAAAAUAGCUAUUCCUUUUUAAGAGUUGUUUUAAUACCGAAUGUCAAAAAAGGAAAAUUUCUGAUAAAAAUUGAAGAUCGUGACACAAAGUUAUGAGACAGCAUAUGUAGAUCGCAAUGGGACGAUCGCAUGCUGCGUUCUGACAUGAAAACCGGAAUGACACUGCUACAUCCUUGUCAUUAUCUUUUGCAAUGCUUUCUACUUUCUGCACACGCGUUUACAAGUGUAUUCAUUUGAAACGUACAUUGACCAUGUGCGUCGGUCAGCUGAAUUCCAACAUAUUAACGACAAUGACCUAGGAUACUUUAUCCCUGUUCAUAAAUCACAAAUAAUCAAACACGUUGAUCCAGUCGCCACAAAUAAUUACAGUUGAUAUAUUUAUUUCAUUUCUUCACUUUUUUUUGCAUAGGAAAUCUAUAUUUAAAAUGACAGAAAUAGAUUUCAAAAACGAUAUUCUUUGAUGCAAUAGCAUCCUCUGUUUUAGUAAAUUACUUUUCUUUAUUGAAAUUAAAUUGUAAUUGUAACACGUAAGCGGCCUGUUGACACAGUUUUCUAUUCGCCGCGAAAAAGGUAUCUCCAGAUCAGAGUAUAAAUUGUCCAUUUCUAAGAGGCCAUCAAAUGACCGUGAAACGGUAAAAGUCGUACACGCGUAACAACGCGAGACAUUAGUACAAUACGAAGAAAGUAAAAUGAAAAUGGAAAGUGGACGGUAAACUAAUUCCAAGCGGACGCUUCUUUGAUGUCGUUGCAUAUAUGUAGAACAUUCUGCCUUUUAUAAGCCGCACGAAACACAUGUGUGUCGUAUUGCAUAUUUAUUAUACGUAUAUUCUCGAGCAGUAAAUCUGAACUAAACAUCGAGCAAAAUCGAACCAUCUUCGUAGAAAACACAAAUUUUAUCUUUUUAUCGAAAAACGUUUCAUGAAUUUAAAAUGCAAGAAAUAAAAAAUUUUAUAAUUUACAUCAUCAUAUUUUUAGUUAUAUUUAGUAAUAAAAAUAAAUCAAAUUUCAUAAAUAAUUUAGUUAUGUAAUAUUUUUCUUCAAUUAGAAAAUAGGAAGAUUUUCUCGUUAAUUGUGAAGAUAAGAUUAAAGUAGAAAGAAUAUAAAUAAGUUAUGAUAAGGUAUGAACAUGUGCGCUACACUUUCGAACUCAGAAAUAUUUGUGGUGCGAAAGUUGCAAAGAUAUGUAGUAAUACCGGUUGCGACUCAGCUUCACGCAUCUUCGCAUGCUUGGCAUAUUCUGAAUAUGAUGACAAGAUUCUGUGCAAGGACCUAUUCUAGUUACUUUAUCAUAGUAUUAUAACCCUACACUUUGUUGUUAGAAAAUUAUUCAUUUUAUAAGUCACAAAUCAUAAUAUGAAUUUAACAUAGAGAAGUAAAUUAAAAACUGCACGAGAUAA
rnacentral:lncRNA from 1 species